UAGGGAAUCUUCCACAAUGGGCGCAGCCUGAUGGAGCAACACCGCGUGAGUGAAGAAGGGUUUCGGCUCGUAAAGCUCUGUUGUUAAAGAAGAACACGUAUGAGAGUAACUGUUCAUACGUUGACGGUAUUUAACCAGAAAGUCACGGCUAACUACGUGCCACCAG
rnacentral:rRNA from 1 species